GGGGCAGACAUUUUUUGGGGGGGAAAUUGAGGGACAGAAUGAACUGGAGAUAGAACAGGAGAGAGAGAUGGAAGAAAAGCAGGAAGUGAUUAAGGAAGCAGAGGAAGAGUACAGGGAAAGAGAAGAGAGAGGAAAGGAAGUAAGCAUGAAGAAACAUGUAGUAGUUAAUGUUAAAGCAAAAGCACGGGAAGUCUUCAAUAGGCGUAAAGAGAGGAGGUUAGAAGUGUUGAAGGGGGAGCGAGAACACAUAGAAAGAGGACAACAAAUCAGGAGGGAGAAGGAGGAAAGACGGCUGGAGAUGGAAAGAAAACAGGAGAGGGCAAGACAACAAGAGGAGCAGGAUAAAAAACGAGAGAUUGAAAUUGCUAGACAGAAAGAAAUGUUGAGACUAAGAGAGGAGGAGAGGCAGAGAGAGGAAGAGAGAGAGGAGCAGAGAAAGAGAGCCAUUGAAGGCCAUUUAGCUUUAAUCAGAGAGAGAGAGAAGAUUUUAGAGGUAAAGAAAAAAGAGGAGAAGGGGGGGCCAGACUGCCAGCAGCUAGACGCUCCAGAAGAGGUUGAAACAUCAGAGCGAAUAUCCAAGACAAAGAAAAAGCCAAGCAUCUGGAAGAAAAUUAGGAUGAGCCUUCCUGACGUGCUGUCUGCCUAGAGCUGGAACUCGAUGAAGCCACAGUUCCACUGAGGUUACGUUGGUAAUUAAAAGUGUCGCCCAAUAAUUCCUCCUCCUCUUUAAGUCAUCGAGCCACAUGUCCUCCUCAAAACAUUAUAGUCUCCUCAAGCCAGCAAGUAUCCUCUUUAUCAGGCAACAAACCAUCGAAGGUCAGUGACCCUCCUCCCAAGAACAGAGACUCUCAUCUGUAUCCUAGUUAAAUUCAUCUCUGCUUACCACCUCUACAGUCCUAGAAAAUAUCCCAAAAA